UCAUUCUAAUUUCGUAGGUCUGAUAGUCAGGUCGUUAAUUGUAUUUACUACAUUUUAUUAAGGAAGAUUUUAUAUCCGUAUGAAGCUGUGAAAACGUUGAAAUAAAGUGCAAAAAGUUAAAAUGUGUAGAAAAAAUAAGUUAAAACACAAAGGCGGCAGUUUUAGAACACGGCUAAGGUAUCAAUUACGGCCAAGUUGAGGCAAACAAAAUGGCGGCGUGUUCGCCGAGUUGGAAAGAUUUCGCUAAAUUCGUAUAAUCCAAUACUGGUUAAGAAACAUAAUGUAUAAAAGAAGGAAAAUAGAGGAUUAUACAUCGAGGAAAGAGUACCUACCAAUGGUUUUACUUAUACCUACUCGUUUUUAAUUCGUGACGGCCUCGACAACUUCAAAUCUUUUCUUCGGACAUCAUUCUAUUAUCGUGUUCUUUCUUGAUCAUUUAUUUUAAACGUUGGUGUUGAGGGUCCAAGCAGGUUCCAGAAAUCUUUCGCCAAAGUAGAUUCGAGUUAAACAAAAGUAUAAGUUUUCGUCAUCAGUAAAAAUAAUUGUGAAAAAUAUAAAACAUUAGUUUUUGAAGGUAAAGUAAUUUUCUUCUCAUAUUAAUAAUAAAAAAUAACAAUAAAAUGUUAAACAGUUUGUGAUAAUUCUAAUCCACUCAAUUUGUAUUUUGAUAGUACCUACCUAUUUCGUAUUUGUAAAAAAUGACAAUACAUAUUACAAAUCUUAAUUUGCCGUCUUAAA
rnacentral:lncRNA from 1 species